CCCUGGCGGUUGGAGAGUUGUAAUACAGAAGAAAUGGAAAGGCAGGUAAUCAGACUAGGCCGCUGCAGUACGCCGCACUGGGAAGGGGAUGGGGGCGCUUCGGGCUUGUAUCCCGUCCUCCGGAUGGGCUGGAGAGUAAUCUCCAGUGGAGUGCGCACAGGAGCACGGGAGGCCCACGACCAACUGCCAAGAUGGUGCGGUAGGAGCAAAUCAGGAUUGCAGCUCUGAAUGAAGACGCAGAGGGUACUUUGUGAAGAAUACAUUGUUUGAGGCCAUUUCCUUGAUUCAUGAAGCUAACGUCACUGAUAAGGAAAAAUCUCACAUCAUAUGCCCUCUAAUAUGCUAUGCUGAGAAGACACAACCUGCAUUUCACCUGACUCUUAUCAGAUAGGCCUGGUUACAAGAUAUUUUGCAAAAUAAAUGGUCUGAGCUCUUCAAGAAAGUCAAUGUCACAAAAGACCAAAAAGGGGUGUGGGGAGGGGGAAGACUAAAGAAACUGCACAAGAGACUGAAAAGACAUGAAAAUGUAAUGCAUGAUCCUGAAUUGGAGCCUUAAAAAUUUAAAUUAGUAAAAGGGAAAUUUGGAGACAUUUGGUUUGAAUUAGGAUUCUACAUAGUAGUACUGUAGUAUAUCAAGUUAAAUUUUCCGAUUUUGAUGAUUGUCUGCAGAUAUGCAACUAAGUAUGUUUUUGAAAGAAAUAAAUUCUGAAACAAAAUAUAUACCACAUACAAGAGAAAAAUGAGAGAGAAUGACAAAUUGGUCACCUGUAACAGGGUGAAAGGUAUAUGGCAGUUCUUUUCAUUAUUCUUGAAAUUUUUCUUUAAGUUUGAAAUCAUCUCAAAAUUUUUUAAAGAAAAAAGGGGAAUAAAAUACCAAUUUGCUUAUAUUUGCAUAAAUACUGAAGUGAUAACAAGGAUCAAAUGGUGAACUGGAGUGGGGACAUGGAGUGAAUGAGGACAGGGUGGGAGUGAAAUUUCUCAUGUAUUAUACAUCUUUUAAUAUUAUUUUGACUUUUGAACCUAGUAUAACUAAUUUAAAUCUCUCAUUUAAAAAAAAAUUUUUUUUGACAAGGUCUCACUGUGACAUCCAGGCUAGAGUGUGGUAGUGUAAUCACUGCAGCUGAGCUCCCACGGUCAAACCAUCCUUCAACCUCAACCUCAGCCUCUUGUGUAGCUGGGACCACAGGCAUAGGCCACUGCAUGUGGCUAGUUUUGUUUCUUUUUCUUUUUUUUUUUUUUUCUUUGGUAGAGAUGGGGGUCUUAAGGUGUGGCCCAGGCUGUUCUUCAACUCCUGGCCUGAAGCAAUUCUUCUGCCUUGGCCUCCCAAAGAGCUAGGAUUACGGGCAUGAGCCACCAUGCCCAGUCUAAAUUGAAUCUUAAAAGUUCGUUAUUUUUUUUUUUAGAGACAGGGUCUCACCCUGUCACCCAGGCUGGAGUUCCACGGUGUGAUUAUAGCUCACUGCAGCCUUGAACUCCUGGGCUCAAGUGAUCCUCCCACCUCAGACUCUGGAGUAGUUGGGACUAUAGGCAUACACCACCACACCUGGCGAAUUCUUGCAUUUUUUUGUAGAGAUGGGUCUCACUGUGUUGCCCAGGGUUGUCUCAAGCUCCUGUCCUCAAGCAAUCCCCUGCCUCAGCCUCCCAAAGUGCUGGAAUAAUAGGCAUGAGCCACCCUAAAAGUUGAGUUUAAUUUUUGAAUGCGUGUUUUAAAAGUUUAAUUUUUGAAUAGCUUUAAAGGUUUAAUUUUUGAAUAUGUGUUUUUGACCAGUAGGACUGGAUCUGAAUGUGUAUCCACUUUCCCAGAAACCAAUAAAACAAUAUGCCAUUUAGUGACACAACUUUGGUUAAUUUUGCUAGAGAUAAGAAAAUAAAAAUUAAAUAACCCCAAAAGGCAACUUUUCAAGCCUGUUUAUAUAAUUCCAUCACAGAUUUUUUUAAAAUAAGAAAGCACUAAAAUAUUUACAUUUUGCAUGGACCCAGACAAGUUAGCUAACAGUUUAUCAGUUCUAUUUCAUUAUUUUUUUCCUUCAAAGAGCCAGCUCUUCAGUCAACUUAUUAGACCUUUUUCUGUUUUCUAAUUAAUUAAGUUCAGUUUUGUGUUUACAAAUGAUUUUCUUUUACUUACCUUGGGUUUAUCUUUUAAUGUUCUUUUAGUAUAUUCUUGUUAGGUCUUUCAUUUACUAAUAAAUAAGCCUAUACCUUUUCUUCUGAGCACCCAUAGAUUCUUCUGAGCACCAUUUGUUUUUUAUAUAUUCUGUUAAUGUUAGCCAAGUUUUUCUUUUUCUUUAUUUUUUUUACAGGCUCUUGCUCUGUCACCAGGUUGUAGUGCAAUGGUGUGAUCAUAGCUCACUGCAGCCUCAAAUUCCUGGAUUCAAGUGAUCCUCCUGCCUCAGCCUCUGGAGUAGCUGGGACUACUCUAGUGCAUGCCACCACUUCUGGCUCAUUUUAAAAAUUCUUGCAGAAACAAGAUCUCACCAUGUUGUCCAGGCUGGUCUUGAAUUCUUGGGCUCUUGUGAUCCUCUCUCCUUGCCUCCCAAAGUGCAGGGAUUACAGGUGUGAGCCACCGUCCCUGGCCAAAUUUUCCUUUUUGACUCAAAAGUUGAGUUGAGAGGUUUUUAACAUCAAAGUAGUAAAAAUUUUGUUCCUGAUUUGUUUUCUGCUUUGUACUUUAGUGCACUCUGAUCCAGGAAUAUCUAUAUUCUCUACUAUUGAGAAUUCACUGAAGUCUUGAGGCCUUAUGUAAAAAUUUUAUGAAUGCUUGUCACUUAAAAAAGAAUGAGUUUUUAUCUUCAGAGAUACACACACAUAUUUCUACCUCAUCAAUUAUCAUAUUUAGGUCGUUUUUAGUCUUAAUUUUGAUCCUCUUGACGUUUAAUAAACUAAAACACAUGAAUUAAACAAUUGACCUGCUGUGUUUUCUGCAUUUUUUCGUUUCCCCUAUAGCUUCUCUGUAAAUGCUGAUGCCUGCUAUCUGAUGCAGUUAUUCGUAACUUUUUUUUUUGAGACGGACUCUCACUCUGUCACCCAGGUUGGAGUAUAGUGGCACAAUCUUGGCUCACUGCAACCUCCACCUCCCAGGUUCAAGUGAUUCUCAUACCUCAGCCUCCCAUGUAGCUGGGACUACAGGUGUGUACCACGAAUGCCAAACUCAUUUUUGCAGUUUUAGUAGAGAUGGGAUUUUGCCAUGUUGGCCAGGCUAGACUCAAACUCCUGACCUCAGGUGAUCUGCCUGCCUAGGCCUCCCAAAGUGCUGGGAUUAUAGACGUGAGCCACCGCACCUGGCCCAUCAUCGUAACUUUAUCAUGAUACACACUAUUUUAAAUGUCUGUUUCUUUUUAAUGAUUUUGUUCUAAAUUCAAAAUUAUCUGACUUUAAAAUCACAUCCUAGUCUUUUUGCUUGCAUACAUCUGGUAUACAUUUUACUAUCUUUUUAUUUUCAAGCUUUCUGAAUCAUUCGUUUUCAUUGUGUCUUUUGGUAUACAUUUUACUAUCUUUUUGUUUUCAAACUUUCUGAAUCAUUCGUUUUCAUUGUGUCUUUAGAGCAUUACACUGUUGGGGAGGCUUUGUUAUAUGAGUCUGUGUCUUUUAGUAGGUGAACAUAGCCCAUUUAUUUACACUUAUUCACAUGGCAGGUAAGUUUGAUCUUGGUUCUAUCUUCUUAUUUGAUGCUUGUUUUCUUUCUUGUAUAUUCUUUUUGGUUUUAUGCUUUAUGAUGUGGUUGGUGCUUUCUUUGCUCUGUCUACUGUAUGGUCAAUGUUUUCUUUGCUGUUUCUGUAUUUCUUCAGAUAAUUUGGAACGUCUGUGCUUUUAUUCUAUUCUAGUGUUUCAUCUUUUAACUUCAUAUACCUUGAAUACUCUAUUUCAUUAAAUUAUGUUUG